GGUUGGAGCCGGCAGUGUGACAUUGAGCUGGACUUGGGGCAGAGGGGCCCUGCAACAUAUUUAGAUGACCCACCACCAACAGGACGGCCCCAGAAGAAAACCUUCUGAAGGCAAACAGCAGGAACUCCCAAGACGAUGCUUGGAAGACAAGAAGUGCUUCAUACAAACUGGAAGCAUCCAGCUGUCCGUGAGAUCUAAUAGUGGGGGAUCACACAGGCUGGGCAGGAAAGGGUGAGGAGAAAGGCAUUCUAAGGUCAGAGCCUCCUGGAGCCGGUUGUCCUGAAGGCAGGGUGCCAGCGUUGCCCAUCCCGGGGAGAGAGUGGGCCAAAGGCAGGGAAGCCCAAGGGAGGAGCCCUGGGGGUGCGGAGCCCGUGGGCCUCUGCGGCUGUGCCACUGAGUGCAAAGUCCGCGUGGGAGCAGGACCAGGCUCCAGUCCAGGUCAGCCCCGGGUGGUCCAGGGUAGGUGAGCCGGGACCAGCAUGGUUGACCAGACCAACCGAGAGGAGCGGGGCCUGGCCGAUCGAUACCCGUUCCCAGCCUCGGGGCUGGGUGGCCCUGAGAGACCCCUGUUCUGAGGUGGGGACACAGGAAUGCAUGAGCUCAUCCAGCAGUCAGGGGAGCAGGGAGAGAGCACCCUGCCUGGGGCGUGGGGCGCUCUGGUGCCCAUGCCACUUGUACAAAUGGCUGCUGCGGAUGUCCUGAUGAGGCCGUGAGGGCUCCCACUCAGCGUGUGACCUGGCGAGGGCACAGGGAGAGUUGGGCGCCAGGGGCAGAGUGGCAUGGCAGCCGCUGAGGCAGAAAGCCCUUGAAAGUGGACUUAGGUCAGGGAGAGGGGUCUGAAGAGCCCUGCAGUCAGCAUACUGCUAGAGACCUUACUACCAGCAGAAAAUGACAUUCAGGCGAAGACCAGUGUGGGACCCAAGGACGGGAUGCCGAAGACCACACGACCAGGAUGGAGACUGCCUCUAGCCACCCCCCACCAGAAGACUUUGCCAAGCCCUGGUAAGGAGGGCUUUGUAGGUAAGGAGAGAUCAAGCUGUGUUCCACAUGACAUGUUUAGUUCUCUACAGGUCCGAGCUCACUGUCAAGUGUACCGUACAGUGUUCACCGUGCUGCUUUCCUCCCCAGCCCCUUAAGCAGAUUCUGAGUUCAAGAACCCCAUCAGCUUCUGUGAAAUGGAAACGGGUGUAGCCACUGGCCACGAUGUUAUGGUCUUGGGUCACAUAGAUGCUGCUGCCAGCUGCUGUCCUCCCUUUGGGCAUGGCUAGGGGACCAAGUUUCAUAUGGUGGCCCUUGAACAGGGGCCAUCCCUGCCUGGGAUAGCCAGGUAAGCCUGGUGAAGUGGAGCCUGCCUGAGGGGAGCUGGUCUACCGUGUUGGCAGGUGGUAUAUGGAUUGCUAAAUAUAAGUGAUAGGGAUUUGGCACACAGAUCAGCCUUAGAAACGGAAGGCCCAGGACUCACAUGGGGACCCACAGGCUUCUCCUGGAACUUGCCCCAAUGUCUCCAACACCCUUCCUACUGGACUUGAAGUCCUGCUUCUGCUUGCUUUGUCCUCAGAGAUGAAAAAAAUAGCUUGUCAGCGUGUGUGUGUGUGUGUGUGAGAGAGAGAGAAGCUUAGGGCUUCUCUACAGAUUAUCCAGUCAUUCCUGUGUCUGGCUCCAAGUCCCUCCAAGCUCUCCAUAUCCCUCCUAGUUCUAGCCCGGGGUUGGGCAUCAUCUUCAGUAAAGAGACGGUGGAGGCUGAGAGCCACCAUGGGUCUCCCUCCCUGCCCCAUCUGGCACUCCCUGGGCUCACUCCUGCUUGCUUUCCUAAAGCCAGUGCUGUGUUUCAGACCCCGACCCAGGCCCCAGGAUCAGAGUUCAUUGAUGGUGAUGAACAGAAGACGCUGGGAGAGGCUCUGACAGUCCUGUGUGAGCUGUACCGGGAGAGAAAAGGGGGCUGUUGUGAUCACAAAGUGCCCAAGUCUCAUCCUGAGGUCAGAUUAUUGUAGGAUUUCUGGCAGCACAGACCCAUUCGGGUACUUUCAUUGAGCUUCUGAGUAUAAUGAAUCUCGUAAGAGUAUACUGUUGCUUCUUAAAUACACGGUGUGUGCACCGAGCUCAAUGAUCAGUUUGCAUUCUAGACUGUCAACCCAUGAUGCCUGCAUUACGAUACUUUCCUGUAGUUAUUAUGUGACCCACGCUGUUCUGAUGGCGCUUUUGAUUUCAGAACCUGAGCUUAGCAUGCAGGCAGGUGGAUGGGGGCAGCGUGUGGCUGGGUGUUACCUGAGGCUCCACGUCCAGUAUUGCAAUCAGGCCCUGCUCAUGGAUCUUCCGGAUGGUCUCCAGUUUUGUCCCAUACAUCGCAUCCUCAUGGCUGCCAUACUCCAAGUACUCGUUAUUAGAGAUGUCUUGCAUCAUUUGGUCAUGAGAUACAAAGUAAUAAUUCUUUCCAUUUUCUUCAUCUUUCUUUGGAGGUCUGGUUGUAUCUGCAAAGAAAGUCACAUAUCAAGAGAGGCUCAAAAGGCUGAGCUCAUGAUCUGAUGCUCCCAAUGGACCUACCCAAGCCCAAAAUCUUGAGAGCUGUGGAUUUUUCCAGUAUAGGUCUCAUGCUACGUUCCCACCCCCAGUAGCUUUGUAGAACUAAAUUCUCAGCACCAUGUUUAUCUGCGUGACAUCAGACCACAAAAACUGGUUAGUUGUUUGGUCUGGUGAAUCCUUCAGUGUUUAGAUGAGAUUUAUUUUAUCUCUUCAUGGGUCUCUACAGGACAAAGACACUGACCCAAGAUUAACAUAACUUACUGUAUGCCUUAAUGCAGUUACUUCUUAAGCAGAAGGAAAAAAGAAGAGUUAAAAAAAAAAUGGAAAACCACAUAUGGUUAUUUAAAUUUAAAUAAAUUAAAAUUAAAAUGUCAGUUCCUCAGUCUCACAUUUCAGGGGUUCAGUAGCCACAUGUGGCUCAUGGUUACUAUAAUGGACACUACAGAUAUUGAAAACUGUCACUAUCAGAGAAAAUUUCCAUUGGAUAGUGCUGGUCUACGGCAGCUUGCAAAAGAGAAUGUUAGAAUACAGCAAAAGGUGUACUACAUUGAGAAUCCAAUGACCUUGGCCAGAUGUGGCCAUAAUAAAGACCUACACCAUGAGUUGGCAAACUAUGGCCUAUGAGUCAAAUAUAGCCUGCUUUUAUAAAUAAAGUUUUAUUGGAAAACAUCCAUGCCCAUUUGUUUACAUAUUGUCUAUGGCUACUUUCAUGUGAUAAUGGCAGAGAUGAGUAGUUGUGACAGAGACCAUGUGGCCAUCCAUGCCUCAAAUAUUUACUAUCUAGUCCUUUAUAGAAAAGGUUUGCUGACCCGUGGCCCAAGAGAACAUGUACUAAAAUAUUGGCCGGUAAGUCCUAGUUCUGUGGGAGACUGACAGGACCAGUGUUCUGCAAAACACAAUUUAGAAAAUGUCUUUCUAGACAUGCCAGGAACACUGGUUUAAAUCUUCCUUCCUCCCACUUUUUUCCUUUCUUCUCUCCUUCUCUUUUUUUCUUUCCUUCCUCCCUCCCUCCCUCUCCCCUUCCCCUCCCCUUUCUUUCAGUUUCCAUCAUUGGACAAGGACAAACUUUAUGCUCCCCUUUGCUGUGUGCAUGGGUCCAAACCCAUGGGGAACUUCCCCUCUCUCCUACCCCAACUGGAUGGACUAAUAGAACUUCCAAGUGCUCAUGAAUGUUCCAAUGUAGAUGUUUUAAAGAACUCUUUCUCCAGGCACAUAAAAGCUGAAGAGAUGGCAUCAUGUGUUGAUGCUGUACGAUGCUUAGUCAUCUCGGUAGGCAAACAUAUGCUAUAUACGCAUCUGGGGUCAAAUAUUUGAGAGAGGGACCUCAUGACUCACAUGACUGAGGUUGGCAAUGUAUGCUUCAAAACCAAGCUAGUUAACUGGCCGUUUAAUAACAUGGACGUUCAAUUGUUAUGUGACCAAGAAGAAACUAAAUGUUAGUUAAGCUUGCUAUACUUCUGAUCCAGACAUAAGGAGAAUUAAACGAAUACUUCAAAGCGUUUUACUAGAAAAUCCCAGAGGUACCAAAUGAAAUGGUGUUUGAUGAAUUUCCUUUUUUGUUUGUGUAAAUCAGACAGGGUUCUGGAAGGAGGGUGUGGUCUUAUGAAGCCCCACAGCUCUCUGGGGCGUAGAGAAAACCGUAAGUGGUGUUGACCUGGCUUCAGGAAGGCAACAGAAGACCCUACUGGGAAGAGCCAAUCUUCCCAUUUUCUCUUUUUAGUCUUAUAACUCAUUCCCCUUUAGUCCUUCCCACCUCGAACAAAACUGUAUCUUCCAGAAAGCUUCUGGGAUUCAAACUAUAAACUCUGGUACAACAGUACUGAAAACAGUGAUAGCAGUAACAUGACUGCUCUUUAUCCAGUAUUUGCUAGUGCUUCCUAAUCUCAAAUAUUCUUUACAUUCCUGGAAUUACUUCAUCUUACAGUUGAGGACACAGGGCAAGAAGUUAAGGGUGAGAUAGAGAAAAUAAAGGGAAUAAAAAUAUUACAGAUUUAAAAUUCUUUAUAAGAACCACCCGAUGGUACACUGGCUUUUCAAAGUGAUGAAAGUCAAUAACUUAGGUACGUUUCAGGAGAAUAUCGUUCUAUCAAAGAACACUGUGCUAUCAGAUCUAUUUUUCCGAAGAAGAAUUCAUCUGAGUCAUGUCCCAGCCAUACUGCUGGGAAAAUCAGGUCACAAAUAGAGUGGAUGAGCCCAAUUUUGUUAAAAAACAACAAUGACAAGCAAAUCACAUGCUGCCUACGUUUGCCCUGAGAGAAGCUUGCGGGAGUCUACAAUAGAAUGUUUACGGUGCCACUACUGGGCAAAUGUGGUCAGGAUUACUGUUAAUUCAUUUUCUUCUUUGUUCUGCUUUGGAUCUUCCAGAUUUCCCCUAACGAGUAGUUACAGCUUAUAUAAUAGAAAAAAAAUACAUUAACUACAACAUUUAAAAAGUACUAGGACUAGUAUACUUAAAAGAGAGUGAGACAUAGCUUACGUGGAAUAGGGUAUGCAAACCGGUCUGGGUGCUUUGUGAUGAGAGUGUUUUUUAUGUGUCUUCUCCCAACACCGUGCGCACCUAUGUCAUUUUAAAAGAAGGUGAAAUUGACAAUUGUUAGUAACAUUUGCAAAAUGUGUUCAAGAUGACAUUAACAAAGUUACUUAUACAGUCAAACUUACCUAAUAAGACUAGUGUUUUCCUUUUGAAUGCCGGCAGUUUUACUACUUCUUCAUAUGUAACGAGAUCUAAUUGAUCGAACACUACAAUACAAAGAUUUAGAAGAAAGGUAAAUCUACAGGAGUAUUUCACAUACAUCAAUUAUGAUUUUACUGGCAGAACUAAAGUUAUAGUAAAACUGUGUCUUAAAAAAAUAGAAGUCCAACUUAUGGUCUGAGCUUUCAUGUAAUUUUAGUCCUAUAACCUUUUGGGAGAAAAUUUCAUUUUUAAGCCCAUGAAAAUGCACUUUAGAACCAGGGGCAUCCAAAGAUACGCUGAGCACAUGCAUAAAAGUCCAAUUCUAAGAGAUACUGCAUAUCUUGUCAUGCAGUAUCCAACAAGUCAUACAAAUUCAUUCAAAACCACAUGCUGUUCAUAUUUUUGCAAUUCUAAGAAAUUAGCAUUACUAAAAAGAAAAUGUCUGCAGACAUUGACCAACAUGAAUAUAGCAUGAAUGCAACUAAAGUUAACCAAGAAGGAGGCCACUAGAUUAUUUCUAGGGAUGGAUGAGAGAUGCAUGGACAGCUGGUCUUUUAACUUCAUGGUUCUUUCUUUCAGCGGAGGUGCUGAAGGUAGCAUGCUAGAUUCUUUCAAAGUCAAGUUCUGAAACUAUGAUUUCACAAGCUUUUGAAAUGAGCAUCUCACAAGUUGUACUGUAACCCAGCUCUCCAUUCGAUGGAGAGUCUUGGGUAUAUAAGUAGGGAAACAUGCUUCCCUGGGUCCCAAACUUUGUCAGCCCAUGUGUGGUCAGUCAGGAUGGACGAGAUGCAAAGAAGCGUGAAGCAGAGUCUGAGCUGGGAAACCUUUGCAAAAGGGGAGUUCUCGAAUCAUUACAGACUGAGAAUAAAUACUUAAAAAAACUAUUUUUUGGAAACCUGCCUCUUAACAGAACUGUUACCAAAACUUUCCCAAGAGGACGACUAUUCCUGUUGAAGUUCAAGGUAGUCUGGUUCUCACACACAUUUGAAAAUUCUCACAUGAAGGCUAAAAUCAUGAGUCUGUGUUUCCUAUAAUGGAUUUCUGUAUGGUGAUAUCGCAGUGUUGUCAGGCACACACUGAAAUUUCUUUUUAAAAUAAUAUUGAAUAAGCUCUAGGUUUCAGAGGGUUUGAAAUAAAAUCAAUAAAAUUGAUGCCUUGGUUUAAUAAAGGGAUCUGGGAUGCUUCAAUCACUAAGAGAAGUUUCUGCUCCCUGAAACAAUAUGGCCAAAUGCUUUUGGCUCUCAGCUCAGUCCUUAACAUCUGUGAUCUUCCCAGUAGCAAAGAACCUUAAAAUGCAAAAUAGGAUACUCUGGAAUGCAACAGAUCAGAAACAAAUGAACAAAAGUAUCAUUCCCAAACUACUAAAAAAAAAGAAAGAAAGAAAGAAAGAAAGAAAGAAAGAAAGAAAAGAAAUACAAUGUGUUAAAAUAAGGGUUAGUGCAUGUUAAUGGGUAUCUGUGCAUUUGUUUGCUUUUGAUAGCUUGAUUCCAUAAAGGUUGACUCAAAAGUCUUUAAUUCAGCUAAACACCAAGAAGUGCUUUCUGUGUCUAGAAUGGCAGACUCCCCAAAUGAAAACAAACACGAGGUUCUGUGCGUGCUGGAGCUGGCUAGUCAUGCUUCAGUGGUGACGGAGUGUCAGAGUUGCAAAAAUAAAAGCAGGAGUGCUUACGGCAUUGCUUUUUAUACCCACUGCCCUCGGAGUGAUGUUUCCAUCAAGAAAAAGGAUGCUUAUGAAAGAGAGCCCUAACUGCAAUCCUACCCACUUAAGACUGGUCAAUUUUUAAGAAACACGUAAGAAUGAGUUAGAUAUGAACAAUCGACAGCACAAACAAAUGAACAGAAUUUGAUGAGAACGUCUGGCCUGCCAUCAACAUAUGCAGAAUUCUCAAAGAUUUGAAGCUGGAAACAAGACAUAUGGCCCUUAUUUGAAUUCGCUGAGGACUAUGGGAAGACUCCCCACCCCAACCCAGCUGUAUUUUACAAUCAACUUCUGAAAAAGCCAGAAAAAUCCUUCAGAAAUAUAGUUUGAUUUGUGGCUCAUGACCCCAUUUGGCUAGCUCUUGGCAUUAAAGAAUACGUUUCAAAGUU